rnacentral:ncRNA from 1 species
AAGACCCCUUGUAGACGACGAGGUUGAAGACCCCUUGUAGACGACGAGGUUGAUAGGUUCGAGGUGGAAGUGCAGCAAUGCAUGCAGCUGACGAAUACUAAUCGGUCGAGGGCUUAACCAA